rnacentral:pre_miRNA from 1 species
GGCCUCUGCCUGUCCCGGGUGGAGCCCGGAUCCUGGGCUGUGUCCCGGCGCCCUGUGCUCCCAGGCCUGCGCUGUUGGAUUCAUGCACCCGGCCGGGCAGCCCCCUCCG